GAUGAAGAACGUAGCGAAAUGCGAUACUUGGUGUGAAUUGCAGAAUCCCGUGAACCAUCGAGUCUUUGAACGCAAGUUGCGCCCGAAGCCAUUAGGCCGAGGGCACGCCUGCCUGGGCGUCACACGUCGUUGCCCCCCCAUCUACUCCUUCGGGAUUGCGGGGGGCGGAUGAUGGCCUCCCGUGCGCCUCGUCGCGCGGUUGGCAUAAAUACCAAGUCCUCGGCGACGCACGCCACGACAAUCGGUGGUUGCGAAACCUCGGUUGCCCGUCGUGUGCGGUCGUCGCGCAUCGAGGGCUCGAAAAAAUUGCCGGGCUCCGGCUCGGCUUUCAACGCGACCCCAGGUCAGGCGGGGUUACCCGCUGAAUUUAAGCAUAUCAAUCAGCGGAGGA
rnacentral:misc_RNA from 1 species